rnacentral:rRNA from 1 species
UACGGAGGGUGCAAGCGUUAAUCGGAAUUACUGGGCGUAAAGCGUGCGCAGGCGGUUUGUUAAGUCCGUUGUGAAAGCCCCGAGCUCAACUUGGGAAUUGCAGUGGAUACUGGCAGGCUGGAGUACGGUAGAGGAAGGUGGAAUUCCCGGUGUAGCAGUGAAAUGCGUAGAUAUCGGGAGGAACACCAGUGGCGAAGGCGACUCUUUGGCCUGUAACUGACGCUGAGGCGCGAAAGCGUGGGGAGCAAACAGG